rnacentral:lncRNA from 1 species
CCGAAGUUACCACUUGUAUUAAAGAUAACACAGACUCCAAGAGCCGGAUAUUCGAGUUCACCUUUACUCCUGAUGAAGAUCUUGCCCAGCGACUGAUCUCCUUGAUGGAAGUACUUACAUUCUUGAGUUGCUUCGAUGGCGAACAGAGGUAUGGAUGCUCCCAGCCAUUGAUUUCUUGCUUAGGGAACCUUGCUUCUGAUUCCGGAGGAUCCUGAUGCUGCUGAAGCUUCUUUCCCUGUGUGAAUUCAGGAGCUGCUGUGGCUGCUAGUGCUGGGCUGUGAUCACCGGCUCGUCCGGCUGGAGCUACGAGCCCGGUCCCGGCCGUAAGUGAGCUUGGGUUGCUGCUGCCCACGGAGAUGUAGGAGCUGGGGCAGCUGCUCAGCGUCAGAGUAGAACCAUAGCUGCUUAUACUGGAACCAGGGCUCGUUGGAAACGCCAUUUCCAACUCGGUGAUUCUGCAAGGGCUGAUGUUUUGCAACAGCAAAUAGCUACUGAGUUCUGUAAGCUUCUUCUCGAUCG